rnacentral:rRNA from 1 species
GACGAACGCUGGCGGCGUGCCUAAUACAUGCAAGUCGAGCGGAUCUGAUGAAGUGCUUGCACUUCUGAUGGUUAGCGGCGGACGGGUGAGUAACACGUAGGCAACCUGCCUGCAAGCCCGGGAUAACAUUCGGAAACGAAUGCUAAGACCGGAUACGCAGCUUGGUCGCAUGACUGAGCUGGGAAAGACGGAGCAAUCUGUCGCUUGUAGAUGGGCCUGCGGCGCAUUAGCUAGUUGGUGAGGUAACGGCCCACCAAGGCGACGAUGCGUAGCCGACCUGGGAGGGUGAACGGCCACACUGGGACUGAGACACGGCCCAGACUCCUGCGGGAGGCAGCAGUAGGGAAUCUUCCACAAUGGACGCAAGUCUGAUGGAGCAACGCCGCGUGAGUGAGGAAGGCCUUCGGGUCGUAAAGCUCUGUUGCCAGGGAAGAACGCCUAGGAGAGUAACUGCUCUUAGGGUGACGGUACCUGAGAAGAAAGCCCCGGCUAACUACGUGCCAGCAGCCGCCGUAACAC